rnacentral:tRNA from 1 species
UCCCUGGUAGCUCAGUAGUUAAAGCGUCUGCCUGCAAUGCAGGAGACUCGGGUUCCAUCCCUGGGUUGGGAA